rnacentral:rRNA from 1 species
UUAAGCGACUAAGCGUACACGGUGGAUGCCCUGGCAGUCAGAGGCGAUGAAGGACGUGCUAAUCUGCGAAAAGCGUCGGUAAGGUGAUAUGAACCGUUAUAACCGGCGAUGUCCGAAUGGGGAAACCCAGUGCAAUUCGUUGCACUAUCGUUAACUGAAUACAUAGGUUAACGAGGCGAACCGGGGGAACUGAAACAUCUAAGUACCCCGAGGAAAAGAAAUCAACCGAGAUUCCCCCAGUAGCGGCGAGCGAACGGGGAGCAGCCCAGAGUCUGAAUCAGCUUGUGUGUUAGUGGAACGGUCUGGAAAGUCCGACGGUACAGGGUGAUAGUCCCGUACACCAAAAUGCACAGGCUGUGAACUCGAAGAGUAGGGCGGGACACGUGGUAUCCUGUCUGAAUAUGGGGGGACCAUCCUCCAAGGCUAAAUACUCCUGACUGACCGAUAGUGAACCAGUACCGUGAGGGAAAGGCGAAAAGAACCCCGGCGAGGGGAGUGAAAAAGAACCUGAAACCGUGUACGUACAAGCAGUGGGAGCACCUUUAUGGUGUGACUGCGUACCUUUUGUAUAAUGGGUCAGCGACUUAUAUUCUGUAGCAAGGUUAACCGUAUAGGGGAGCCGCAGGGAAACCGAGUCUUAACUGGGCGUUAAGUUGCAGGGUAUAGACCCGAAACCCGGUGAUCUAGCCAUGGGCAGGUUGAAGGUUGGGUAACACUAACUGGAGGACCGAACCGACUAAUGUUGAAAAAUUAGCGGAUGACUUGUGGCUGGGGGUGAAAGGCCAAUCAAACCGGGAGAUAGCUGGUUCUCCCCGAAAGCUAUUUAGGUAGCGCCUCGUGAACUCAUCUUCGGGGGUAGAGCACUGUUUCGGCUAGGGGGUCAUCCCGACUUACCAACCCGAUGCAAACUACGAAUACCGAAGAAUGUUAUCACGGGAGACACACGGCGGGUGCUAACGUCCGUCGUGAAGAGGGAAACAACCCAGACCGCCAGCUAAGGUCCCAAAGUCAUGGUUAAGUGGGAAACGAUGUGGGAAGGCACAGACAGCCAGGAUGUUGGCUUAGAAGCAGCCAUCAUUUAAAGAAAGCGUAAUAGCUCACUGGUCGAGUCGGCCUGCGCGGAAGAUGUAACGGGGCUAAACCAUGCACCGAAGCUGCGGCAGCGACACUAUGUGUUGUUGGGUAGGGGAGCGUUCUGUAAGCCUGCGAAGGUGACCUGUGAGGGUUGCUGGAGGUAUCAGAAGUGCGAAUGCUGACAUAAGUAACGAUAAAGCGGGUGAAAAGCCCGCUCGCCGGAAGACCAAGGGUUCCUGUCCAACGUUAAUCGGGGCAGGGUGAGUCGACCCCUAAGGCGAGGCCGAAAGGCGUAGUCGAUGGGAAACAGGUUAAUAUUCCUGUACUUGGUGUUACUGCGAAGGGGGGACGGAGAAGGCUAUGUUAGCCGGGCGACGGUUGUCCCGGUUUAAGCAUGUAGGCUGGUUAUCCAGGCAAAUCCGGAUAAUCAAGGCUGAGGUGUGAUGACGAGGCACUACGGUGCUGAAGUAACAAAUGCCCUGCUUCCAGGAAAAGCCUCUAAGCAUCAGGUAACAUCAAAUCGUACCCCAAACCGACACAGGUGGUCAGGUAGAGAAUACCAAGGCGCUUGAGAGAACUCGGGUGAAGGAACUAGGCAAAAUGGUGCCGUAACUUCGGGAGAAGGCACGCUGGUGUGUAGGUGAAGUCCCUGCGGAUGGAGCUGAGACCAGUCGAAGAUACCAGCUGGCUGCAACUGUUUAUUAAAAACACAGCACUGUGCAAACACGAAAGUGGACGUAUACGGUGUGACGCCUGCCCGGUGCCGGAAGGUUAAUUGAUGGGGUUAUCCGUAAGGAGAAGCUCUUGAUCGAAGCCCCGGUAAACGGCGGCCGUAACUAUAACGGUCCUAAGGUAGCGAAAUUCCUUGUCGGGUAAGUUCCGACCUGCACGAAUGGCGUAAUGAUGGCCAGGCUGUCUCCACCCGAGACUCAGUGAAAUUGAACUCGCUGUGAAGAUGCAGUGUACCCGCGGCAAGACGGAAAGACCCCGUGAACCUUUACUAUAGCUUGACACUGAACAUUGAGCCUUGAUGUGUAGGAUAGGUGGGAGGCUUUGAAGCGUGGACGCCAGUCUGCGUGGAGCCAACCUUGAAAUACCACCCUUUAAUGUUUGAUGUUCUAACGUUGGCCCCUUACCGGGGUUGCGGACAGUGUCUGGUGGGUAGUUUGACUGGGGCGGUCUCCUCCCAAAGCGUAACGGAGGAGCACGAAGGUUAGCUAAUCCUGGUCGGACAUCAGGAGGUUAGUGCAAUGGCAUAAGCUAGCUUGACUGCGAGCGUGACGGCGCGAGCAGGUGCGAAAGCAGGUCAUAGUGAUCCGGUGGUUCUGAAUGGAAGGGCCAUCGCUCAACGGAUAAAAGGUACUCCGGGGAUAACAGGCUGAUACCGCCCAAGAGUUCAUAUCGACGGCGGUGUUUGGCACCUCGAUGUCGGCUCAUCACAUCCUGGGGCUGAAGUAGGUCCCAAGGGUAUGGCUGUUCGCCAUUUAAAGUGGUACGCGAGCUGGGUUUAGAACGUCGUGAGACAGUUCGGUCCCUAUCUGCCGUGGGCGCUGGAGAAUUGAGGGGGGCUGCUCCUAGUACGAGAGGACCGGAGUGGACGCAUCACUGGUGUUCGGGUUGUCAUGCCAAUGGCACUGCCCGGUAGCUAAAUGCGGAAGAGAUAAGUGCUGAAAGCAUCUAAGCACGAAACUUGCCCCGAGAUGAGUUCUCCCUGAGACUUUAAGUCUCCUGAAGGAACGUUGAAGACGACGACGUUGAUAGGCCGGGUGUGUAAGCGCAGCGAUGCGUUGAGCUAACCGGUACUAAUGAACCGUGAGGCUUAACCUU